rnacentral:rRNA from 1 species
UACAGAGGUCUCAAGCGUUGUUCGGAUUCAUUGGGCGUAAAGGGUGGCGUAGGCGGCGCGGUAAGUCGGGGUGUGAAAUUUCGGAGCUUAACUCCGAAACUGCAUUCGAUACUGCGGUGCUUGAGGACUGGAGAGGAGACUGGAAUUCAUGGUGUAGCAGUGAAAUGCGUAGAGAUCAUGAGGAAGACCAGUGGCGAAGGCGGGUCUCUGGACAGUUCCUGACGCUGAGGCACGAAGGUCAGGGGAGCAAACGGG